AGAAGCACCUCAGAGUGGGAGUGCCCAUCCCCCAGUGACGGCCCAGGGCAGGAUGGGACUCAGCCAGCCCUUCCUGACACACGCCGUGUCUGUCAGUGCCGAACAUGUCAGUGGGAAUGCUGUGGGAGCAACUGCACUCCAGCCCUGAUCAGCACCUUCGUGUGGCUCCCCUGGGGUGGCACUGUCAUCUCUGUUCCACCUGGGUGCCAACAGUGCUGUCUGUCUGACCCUCAGGGACACACCUGUGCCAUGAGAUCAGAGAAGCUUGCAUACGGAUCCCGCCCCUAUAAUUCAAUGUAAAGCAAUGCCAACAGUAUGGCCUGGGGAGUCACCACUCCUGGAGGUGUUCAAGGAACAACUGGAUGUGGAACUCAGCGCUCUGGCCUGAUGGACAAGGUGGGGAUCAGUCACAGGGUUAACUCAGUGGUCUUGGAGGUCACUCUCAACUUCAGUGAUUCCAUGGUUCUGUGAUCCAUCAGUGUAAGGCUACACCGGUGCUCCUGCAAGCUCAGCCAUGGCAUCAGCACCACCCGGUGCAUUAGGAUCACAGCUCCACCCCAAAUUUUGGAAUGCCUGCUGCUCACACAGCCAACCCUUGCUGGUUUCAUCAAAAAACCCCUGCUGCUCCAGCAUCUCCAUCCUUCCCUGGUCAUUCAUCCUGUGCAUGGAUGCACCACACUCGUUGCUUUUUCACCCAUUAAAUCCCCAUCACAUCCUGCAGUGCCCCUUGUUCAUAUAUGUGGCACAAAUUAAUCAAAUUCCUACAGAAUUCAGCCUUUCAGGAGCCUAUUUGCUUUCUCCUGGGCCCGUGGAGGAGUUGUUGGAAGGCACUGUCUGAGGAAGAAGGAUGGGAAGUUGUUGCGCUUGGAUUUUGUGAGCGUAUGGAGAUUUUUCAUACUGAGGCUGACACUGAGGGGUGCUGGUGGCUGCCAGACACAAUGAAGCAGCAUGAAGAUGAUGGAAUGAUGACAGGGAACAGCUCAGGAAAAUGCUUUCCAUCAAGCUCUGGGGCACAGCACGCAUCCGAUCCCUGCCGGGGGAAUUCCAGCGCUACACGGCCCCACAGUGAGUGGACUGUUGUGGCACCAGCCAGCCCUGCCACACUCACCACAGGCACUUGGGAAAUGUGACAAGAGACUGCCAAGUCAUUAAACCUGCAGAAGGGACAAUUAAGGACAAAUCUUUCCCUCAUUAGCUCUCCUCCUCGCUGAAUCACAGGAUGCAGCACACAGGCAAAAAAAGAGGAAUAACCUCUGGAUGGACAGAGCUGCAGGACGUGGGAGUCAGCAGUUUGUCAGAGGAAAUGCUGUGCUUGGCCAGCCUGCCCUGAACGUGUCCAGAAUGAUCAGUACUAGGAGAAAAACAGGAAUUGUUUCCCAUGGAAGGCUGGAGCUGUGUCCUCAGUCAUGGUGUAUUUUUUCUUAUUCAUCCCUGAGACGGGAGAUGGUGGUGUGACUGAUCCCUGCAGUACACCCUGGAUUUGACAGGAAAAGCCUGGAGAAGGAAGUCACCAUGUUUUCCCACCUCAGGAACUCCACAUUAAUGGAUUUAAUUCAUGGAUGUGCACCGCAACAUUCCAGCUGUGGGGGCUACCAGAGAAACCCAAGGCCUGGCACUUCAGUGACAAAGUGAAAGGAACUCCAUUCAGACGUUCCAUGGGAAUCAGCACAUGAAUUUGGGAUGGUGCAGGCACCUAGACUGCCCAUUGACAAACAAGGUGGCAAAAUGUCCCUGUGUUUGUCCAGGAAAAGGGUUGAGAGCAAGAGGUUUGAUAAGCACCUGCCAGUACCUGAGGGGAGUAAAACCAAAUUAAUACAUCAGAGCCCUGAUGUGGAGAUUAAUUCAUUGGGAAAAUGGAUGGAAUGAGGGCUCCAACAAGUCAAACAAAUGUUCCUGUCAGACUGUAGGAACUGCCCUGGCAUGGAGAUGCCCACAAGAACAAAAUGGAAGAGGAGGAAGGAGAUGGAAGAUGCUGCCUGUGAGUGUUGGCUGGAGCUGCUGAAGGAAUCUGAGGAAUCAGAGGGGGCUGGAAUUUGCCAGCAUGGACUGGAAGGUGUGUGUGGGGAUGCCCUCUGCACCCUGGGACAGUUCCAGGUGUGUCAGAAAGCAGGGAAGAGGAGCAGCAUUCAGACCCUCAGUCAAACAUUCCCUAGGCCUCAAUGGGUCACUGCUGAUAGGAGCAGGUAAAUGCUGAUUCCAUGGAGGAAAAAGCAGGUAGCAGGAAGGUGGAUAGAGUCCCACAGCAUUCCUGCUGGACAGAGGCUUCCUGCCUGAGCAGGACUGACUUCCCCUGCUGUAGUAACAGCCGAGCCUCCUGCCAGCCUGGAUUCAUCCCCAAUAACUUCAGACCCUUCCCUGUGGCCCCAAAAAUAGGAGCCCACCCACUCCAGGCCCGCUGUCAUCAAUGGAGAAGGGGAAGGUGGGCGGAAGGGUUGGAGUCCUCCGCAUGAAUCAUCUCUGGAAAUAGCUCCUUGCUUCCCCUGAACCACAGAGGAGGUGGCAGGUGAUUCGGGGCCUUUGUAGGAGCUCUGGAAAUACCCACGGAAGGAGGUGGAAGGGAUCUGCCUCUGUGCCGCUUCCUGGCCUGCAGGGAACAUGGAAAGCCCAAACACUGGGCUCUCCAGCAUCCCAUUUAUUUGUAUCACAGUUGUUCAGGUUGGAAAAGAUCUUUCAGGUCAUGGAGUCUGACAUCCCCCCAGAACUGCCAAGGCCACCAAGUCAAAAGUUGAUGGAGAGAAAAGCUCCUCAAGCAGGAGGAGGGGGAGAUCCAGGAGCUCUGCAGGACGUGAGGAGCUUUUGGCUGCAAGCUUCAGCCAAGGCUCCUGGCAGCAGCCACCAUGACAGAGCAGAAAAAAGCAACUGCUAUAAUGUUUUUGGAGUGAAAAAAAGCUGCUUUUGUCUCAAAAGAAGGAGCCAAAAGUGACACCAACUGAGCAUCAGCCCCGUUCCAGAGUAACAGAGCUGGGAUUUUUACUGUUUUGCCCUUAAUCUGACAGUCUGGGCAAAAAAAAACAUGCUGAGGCUGCUGAGGUGGAUCCAGCUGGAUGGGCACUAUGGAGCUAUGGAACAUUAUGGAGCUAUCAUGCAGUCUUUCUGGAAGAGAAGAAGAACUUCAUGCACCACUUACAGAAAAUAAUGAUAACCCUGAAAUUAGAAGGACCAAAUGGCUAAUUUCUUCUUGCUACCAACAAGACACCAGAAAGUGUCUUGCUUGGAAAAUCCAGGCACGGAAAGCCAGCCUGCAAAUUCAGAGGGAAUAAACAGCAGGGACACCAAGAGUGGAGGGCUCUGGAGAGGCUUUUGGAGCUCACCAGCCUGGACACUUCCAGGCAGUUGAACAUGUGUUUAUCACCUGCCAAGAUCUGCAGAACAGCAAGCUUUUGGGCAUCUGAGAGAGACAUCCUGCUCUAUCCCAGACCCAUUGAUAAGUGAUCCAGGCAUUGACCAGAAAUCUGAAUUCCAGAAGCCCUGAAGUUCACAAAGAAGGAGGAUGCAAAAGGAGGAUGGCAGUCUCCCAGCCCCAGGGGAUUUUUAUUCACAGAAAUGUUUUUUCCAAAGCUCCUGUGCUAUUGCAGCUCUGAGAGCAGAGAUUUGGCUUUACCACUGUAAAUCCUGCUGCCUCUGCAGCUCUGCAUCACUUCAGACAUUCAAGUUUGCCAUCAAAGACACUGUUUUCCUUCCAAAACCAUUUUCCAGCCUGUAUGAAUCCGCUCUGGUGAGUAGUACAGUUAUAACUCGAUUUUUGCCACUUGCACAGACCCCCAGCUGGCUGGGAAGCUUCAGUCCCAGGGAUAAUCAGAGCUGACAAACAAAAAUGACAGUUUUACUGGGAGGAGAAAAUCUCCCCCUUUCUUUCAGGCAAGUAAAAAGGAGUGACAGGCCAGCUCCCAGGGACUAAGACACAGAAGGAUUUAUCUUUCCACUAACAUUCAUUCCAGUAACUUGCUUUUUUAUGAUGUAAAAUUAUUGAUGUUUCCUUUCAGCAAAUGACCCUUGAGCAACCAAAUCUGAAGAUUGUAAGUGGGCCCUGGGGUAUGAAAAGCUCCCAGUGUCCCAGCCCAGUCAGGCCAGCCAGUAAAGCCCUUCCAAAUAUGCCAAACUUUCCCACCUGCAGCUGCCCUGUGAACACUGGAACUGCUCCCUAAAAUCCUGUGUCACAUCAUUUGGGUGACAGAACCAGCCACACGCAGCCUGGGAGCAGGCUCUGGAGACACAUGCUGGAUUCCAUCAGUCCUGGAAAGGGUCCAAGCAGGGAAGCGAUCCCACGUGAUUUAUGCAAUCAGGAUCAGAUUGCACACCUCCAGCAGCACUUGUUUACUCACUGCACUCCCAGCUCCUACUCAGAGCCAACAGGGGCCCUUCCAGAUCCAUAUUCUGUGCUCAACGACAUCCUGUGCCACAGUGGAAGCUGGGAGAAUCCCACUGCCCGUGGUUUACCUGGCAAAGGGAGGGAAAACAAUAAGCAGGAGGA